UACGAAGGGGGCGAGCGUUGUUCGGAUUUACUGGGCGUAAAGGGCGCGCAGGCGGUUCUGUUUGUCGAGUGUGAAAUCCCCGGGCUCAACCUGGGAACUGCAUUUGUGACUGUAGAGCUGGAGUACGGUAGAGGGGGAUGGAAUUCCGCGUGUAGCAGUGAAAUGCGUAGAUAUGCGGAGGAACACCGAUGGCGAAGGCAAUCCCCUGGACCUGUACUGACGCUCAUGCCACGAAAGCGUGGGGAGCAAACAGGG
rnacentral:rRNA from 1 species